GACGAACGCUGGCGGCGUGCUUAACACAUGCAAGUCGAACGGAAAGGCCCUGCUUUUGUGGGGUGCUCGAGUGGCGAACGGGUGAGUAACACGUGAGUAACCUGCCCUUGACUUUGGGAUAACUUCAGGAAACUGGGGCUAAUACCGGAUAGGAGCUCCUGCUGCAUGGUGGGGGUUGGAAAGUUUCGGCGGUUGGGGAUGGACUCGCGGCUUAUCAGCUUGUUGGUGGGGUAGUGGCUUACCAAGGCUUUGACGGGUAGCCGGCCUGAGAGGGUGACCGGCCACAUGGGAACUGAGAUACGGCCAAGACUCCUACGGGAGGCAGAGGUGGGGAAUAUUGCACAAUGGGCGGAAGCCUGAUGCAGCAACGCCGCGUGCGGGAUGACGGCCUUCGGGUUGUAAACCGCUUUCGCCUGUGACGAAGCGUGAGUGACGGGAAUGGGUAAAGAAGCACCGGCGACUACGUG
rnacentral:rRNA from 1 species